rnacentral:snRNA from 14 species
AUCUUUGCGCUUGGGGCAAUGACGCAGCUAAUGAGGUUAUAACCGAGGCGCGUCUAUUGCUGGUUGAAAACUAUUUCCAAACCCCCUCUUAGGCUUGAGGCAACUCAAGCCUUCGAGAAUUUCUGGAAGGACUCCUUUUGGGGUAAAGUC